rnacentral:rRNA from 1 species
UACGUAGGGGGCUAGCGUUGUCCGGAAUCAUUGGGCGUAAAGAGCGUGUAGGCGGCCCGGUAAGUCCGCUGUAAAAGUCAAAGGCUCAACCUUUGAAUGUCAGUGGAUACUGCCGGGCUAGAGUCCGGAAUAGGCGAGUGGAACUCCUGGUGUAGCGGUGGAACGCGCAGAUAUCAGGAAGAACACCAACGGCGAAGGCAGCUCGCUGGGACGGUACUGACGCUGAGACGCGAAAGCGUGGGGAGCGAACAGG